GCUUCAUAUUUGUCUUGGCAAAACCGUAGGUAAGAGAGAGAGAGAACCGUGAGUGAGGGAGAGUUCAAUUCCUUAGAUCUUUGCUGGAAAUUUUGAAGGAAAACCAAGAGAAAAGUGAAGAAAAGGAAGAGGAAACUCAAGUUUAGCUUGGAUUUGUCAAGAUUAUGCAAGAUUAAGUGUCUAUGAAAACUCUAGGUCACGCGCCAUUGUCUACCUGAUUUAUCUGAUAUGUCCAAUCCAUCUGAUAUGCUUCCGCGGCUAUCUGUGAUAAGGCGGGUGACCAGGCUUAGAGGCAUCUACCUAGAAUCUAUUUUUGUCAGCCAGCCUAUGUGCCUCCCGUAGAGGUUCCGAAUAUGUCAAGUGAUUAUCGCUAUGUGAUUUAAAGUUUAAAUUUUGUUUUCGUGUUUGGUUGAACAAGUCUUGUGUGUUUUGUAAACCCCUUUUUCUCUAAAUCUGUAUAUAUAUGAUGACUUAAAGAUAAUGUGUAUAUAUGUAUAUAAAAAGUUUAAAA